UUACAGAAGAAGAAGCAUCCUGGUUUAGGCAUUAUGUUGAUCAACCAGCAUAUACGGAUCUUCACUGGGUAAGCGCCAAUUCUCCCUUUUUGUGCCAUUCUAAUUUGUCUAUAUUUCAAUAUCCUGUUUGAUAGUAUUUUUUUUACUACAAUUUUCCCACUUCCUUCUAUGAUAAGUAUUCUGCAUGUUUUUGUAGCCUUCAAAUAUUUGAAUUGUUUGUAUUUUUUAGUUAAUAUGUUAAUCUUCUCUUCAGGGAAUGUUUGUGCCUUUUAUUAAAGGAUCUGGUACUGAGGAGCAGCAAGAGAAAUGGUUGCCGUUGGCAUAUAAGAUGCAAAUUAUUGGUUGCUAUGCACAGACUGAACUUGGUCAUGGCUCCAAUGUUCAAGGGCUUGAGACCACUGCAACUUUUGAUCCAAAGACUGACGAGUUUGUUCUUAAUAGUCCUACACUCACUUCAAGCAAAGUGAGUAAUUUUAAUAAUGUUGCUUUUUUGUUUUCUUCUGAUUUUUUUUCUUUUGAGUGAAAUUUUAGUAUCUAUGAUAACAAGCUUGUGAUGGGAAUUGUGCUUAGUGUCAUUUUGAUCUAGAUAUUUUCAACCAUAAUGUGGUGGUUAUAUUUUUCGUUGAUUGAAAUAUCUAGUUUAGGCACUUAUUUUCCUUCCUUAUUGGUUGUGAAUAGUGGUGGCCUGGUGGUUUGGGAAAAGCUGCUACACAUACUGUUGCUUUUGCCAGUCUUAUUACUGAUGGAAAAGACCAUGGAGUAAAUGGUAACGACCAAGUGUAACAUUGUUUGGAACUUCUAUCGUGAAGUGAAUGGUCUAUUGAUUUUAAUUAUAGAACCAAUUCUCUUGUUUUAGGUUUCAUUGUCCAACUUCGGAACUUGGAUGAUCACUUACCUCUUCCAGGCAUAACAGUUGGUGAUAUCGGCAUGAAAUUUGGAAAUGGAGCAUACAACUCCAUGGACAAUGGUGUCCUGAGAUUUGAUAAUGUCCGCAUACCAAGGGAUCAAAUGUUGAUGAGGUAUCCACUUUGUAUGCAUUGUACUUGAUGAUAGAUAGGAUCGUUGUGCUUGAGUGCCCAUAUUUCUUAUUCAAAGAGGUAGAAAGGAUGGCUAUUCUCAUGUUCUUCUCAAAUGUGCCAGGGUCGCACAAGUUACAAGAGAAGGAAAAUAUGUCCAAUCCAAUGUUCCC
rnacentral:lncRNA from 1 species